UACGUAGGGUGCAAGCGUUAAUCGGAAUUACUGGGCGUAAAGCGUGCGCAGGCGGUUAUGUAAGACCGUUGUGAAAGCCCCGGGCUCAACCUGGGAAUGGCAUUUGGGACUGCAAGGCUGGAGUUUGGCAGAGGAGACUGGAAUUCCUGGUGUAGCAGUGAAAUGCGUAGAUAUCAGGAGGAAUACCGAUGGCGAAGGCAGGUCUCUGGGCUAUAACUGACGCUCAUGCACGAAAGCGUGGGGAGCAAACAGG
rnacentral:rRNA from 1 species